UUUUUGACCACGUAUAACCCGCUUCUUUUCCCUCCAUCUUUCCAAUUCUAGAAAGAAAAGUUCAAAAAUACAUGUUUAAAAUUGGUCGGUAUCCCUAGUACGAAAUUCAAAAUCUCCAACUAUUGGUGACAAUGACGUAAUUGGCCCACUAACGGUUAACGUUCUACCUUUUUCCUUAGUUUUUCUUCGAGGGAGGCUCAGAGAUGCAAAGAAGAUUUCCUUGUGAAUGCUCCUAGACAUGAAGACACUUCCCUAAAGAAUUAUAUUAGUUGAAGUAUAAAGAAAUCAAUUAUAUUUUCUACAGAUGGUUUUAGUAAUGUGCCUCUCACGUUGUAUAAGUGCAAUCGGUAAAUGCUAGCUGCCACGUCAAAAUGGACACCGGCAAGGAGGAAAUAAUUCAUAUUUUACAGUUUUUCUUCAAACAAGGCGAACACUCAAGCCAGGUGUCUGAAAAUAUGAACAGUGUUUAUGAGAUUGAUACUGUAACAGCCAAUGACGUGCAAUUUUGUAUUCCGUUCCAGUAAUUUUGAUGUCAAAGAUGUAUCACACUCUGGAAGGCCAAUUGUGGAUAAUGUGAAUCGUGAAUGUGAAAUCGUGGAGUUCUACCGUCAUGUAACCACUGUUUUGAUUACCCAGAAGAUAUUUAUUUUUUUGUAAAAAAACUAAAAAAUUGAAAAAAAAAAUCCAAUGAAAAAAUAGAUUACUUUUUACUACACUUAA
rnacentral:lncRNA from 1 species